rnacentral:rRNA from 1 species
CACGUAGUUAGCCGUGGCUUUCUCAUAAGGUACCGUCAAUUGAUAGUCAUUUCCUCCUAUCACCUUUCUUCCCUUAUAACAGAAUUUUACAACCCGAAGGCCUUCUUCAUUCACGCGGCGUUGCUCGGUCAGGCUUUCGCCCAUUGCCGAAGAUUCCCUACUGCCGCCUCCCGUAGGAGUCUGGGCCGUGUCUCAGUCCCAGUGUGGCCGUUCACCCUCUCAGGUCGGCUACGCAUCGUCGCCUUGGUAGGCCUUUACCCCACCAACUAGCUAAUGCGCCGCAGGCUCAUCCAUCAGUGAUGCCAGGAGCAUCUUUAAACUUUCGUCCUAUCCGGUAUUAGCGAUCGUUUCCAAUCGUUGUCCCCGUCUGAUGGGCAGAUCACCUACGUGUUACUCACCCGUUCGCCGCUUCCCACCGAAGUGGUUCGCUCGACUUGCAUGUAUUAGGCACGCCGCCAGCGUUCAUCCUGAGCCAGGAUCAAACUCU